CCCCAUGACCACUGACAGCGCCAUCAUCGACG
rnacentral:scRNA from 1 species